CAGGUUAACUGAGAUUACAAAUUGUACUUCCCAUUACACCCAGAGCGUACAUACACCACUGGUGCAUGAGGGUCUCCACAUGGCUUGAGCCCUUUAGACACUGUACAGGUGGCCAAACAAAAUGGAGAGAGGGGUGAAAUCAAACCAUGAGCGACCCAACUACUCGACCCUGACACAGGCCCAAACCCACCCCCAAUCCCGCUAGUUUCCCUGGGAAGAGAACUGUCCAGCGGGCCAUGGCUGGACUGAGCCCGUGCCGGACAUGGUGCUCAGUUGCCAUCCUGGAGGACCCAGAGGAUUGCUCAGCCUGGUUUCCUAGGCGGAGGCAGGUGUGUUGUCGGCAAAGACCCUCACUCAGGCCAAGUGUGUGAUGUCUCUUCUUCUUCCGCAGACGCUGAGCCCAGCACCCGGGAACCUGUUCCGGACGUGCCGCUCCCAACCAUGACUCCCAGCACCGAAGCUGACCACGACCACAACGCCGAGCCCGGCACCCGGGAACCUGUUCCGGACGUGCCGCUCCCAACCAUGACUCCCAGCACCGAGGAGGCUGACCACGACCACGACCACGACCACGACGCCGAGCCCGGCACCCGGGUACCUGUUCCGGACGUGCCGCUCCCAACCAUGACUCCCAGCACCGAGGAGGCUGACCACGACCACGACCACGACCACGACCACGACCACGACCACGACCACGACGCCGAGCCCGGCACCCGGGAACCUGUUCCGGACGUGCCGCUCCCAACCAUGACUCCCAGCACCGAGGCUGACCACGACCACGACCACGACCACGACCACGACCACGACCACAGUAGGGGCCCGUGUGCCUUGUGUCCUCUGCCCCUGGGAGCCCGCUGGGUUGCCGGGGCUCCUUGAGCGAGAACGGGCUUUCCUAUUGCCUCCGGGACCGGGAAGGUGUCGCCAUGCGAUUCCUUGUCCCGAAACGCUGGCCUGUGCUCUGGAGCUGCGGGGACGUCCUCGGGGCUCUGCCCGGGAAGGAUGUGCUCCCUGGGGAGAGAGGGGCCGCGGUGCGAGUCCGGCGCUCCGAGACGGGGCCGUGUGUCCUCCCGGGUUCUCUGGUUGGCUGCACGCUGCCUGGGCCUGUCCGCAGGUUGUCCGUUGCUCUGCGUGGUGGUCUCCUAACCCGUGCGGGAGGGGCGUAGGCUUCCCCGCCCCCCACGUCUGCUCCCGCCAUGACCCCGGGGGUCUGGUGCAGCACUCCCGGCCCGCAUGCCUGGCGUUGCCACGGAGGCUGCGAGUGCAGAAGCCUCAUGGGACCCGGCGUGGAGCGCCCCACUGCCCCUGGUGGCCCAGUGUGCGCAGCGGACUUAGGCGCGGGCACGCUGGGCUCCGCGAGGGUGGUGCUCUGUGCCUCUGCCUCUCCUGAGACGUCCUUGCCUUCCUCUUGGCGUUGGCUGGUCUCCGAGCUCCCGGGACAGCGUCCAGGAGGCGUGGCCGCUGCCUGAGGACAAGUCCUCGAUGUGCCCUCCG
rnacentral:lncRNA from 1 species